UCCUCUUCCUCUCUGGCUGUGGUCGGAUCUUUGAAGGCACACCAGAAACAAUGUUGGCUUCAUUAGACAUAGCAGCUGACUUGGCUGAAGAUACCCUACUUUGGCCAGGGCACGAGUAUGCAUUCGAAUGCCUAAUGUUUGCAAGCCUCCAUGAGGCAGAAAACCCCAUUCUAAAACAGAAGCUCCAGUGGGUGAGCCAACAGCGGCUUGAAAAGAGA